CACGUAGGGGGGCAAGCGUUGUCCGGAUUUAUUGGGCGUAAAGAGCUCGUAGGCGGCUCAGUAAGUCGGGUGUGAAACCUCCAGGCUCAACCUGGAGACGCCACCUGAUACUGCUGUGGCUAGAGUCCGGUAGGGGAGCGUGGAAUUCCUGGUGUAGCGGUGAAAUGCGCAGAUAUCAGAGGAACACCAGCGGCGAAGGCGGCGCUCUGGGCCGGAACUGACGCUGAGGAGCGAAAGCGUGGGUAGCAAACAGG
rnacentral:rRNA from 1 species